rnacentral:lncRNA from 1 species
AAAAUUAGGAUAUUGGGCAUCAUACCUGAUGUUUUGUUCUGCUGUUUGCUGUUGGAGCCUGGGUACUGCACUCUGUGCUGUUUGCAUUGUACUAAAACACGCCUGAGUUUCGCUCUGACUGCUGUCCCCGGGGCCCUCAUGAAGAAGAGAUUCAUAGAUUCAUAUCUCAUGAGAUUACCCCACUGAGCAAAGAAAUGAAAUAAAUAAUGUAACUCUUUUAGUUCUGUCAAGUAUAGUAGCUCACAGAAAGAGCUUUUAAAGGCAGUGUCAGCAUGGGCUAGAUACUGCAUCAGUGCAGGGAAAAAAAGACAUCCUUUCUAAGAACAGUGCUGCAAAAUGAGGCCAAUGUGAGCCUAAUGGGUGGUGGAAAACAGUAAGCCUUUUUUUUCCCCCCCACUCCCUAAUGCAAGCCUGCAGGGGUUUAUUUGCCAGUGUGUAUGAGUCUUAGAUCAAAUCAGCUUGCUGAAACUGUACUACAACAGGAGCUCAAAAUAAAUCAUUAGAGUAGUAGGCAUCUUAUUUGGGAACCAAUCGGAGUUUGUGCCGCUUGUUUCUCCUUAGCAGCUUUAAUGAAUUUAUCAACACAAACUAGGAAAUAAAAGAUCUUACAGUAGUCUCCAUUAGGGUGAAGCCCACCAGAAAUCCAGUUCCUUCCACAGUACAAUACAAUGCUUCUAAAAGACGGAAAAGUUUGUUAUGAUAAUUUAGUCAUGUGCGAAGGAGAGCUGAAAUGAGUUUAAUAAUUUUGUGGUACUGUAACUUUAGAAAGAAAUGUUCCCCGGAAAAAUUGCUCUUCCCUGUACUGCAGAAAAUCUUGCAAAAGCCCACUUGAAAUGUGUCUAUCAACGUGCACUAACUCAGCCAGGAGAAGUUUUAAAUGUAUAGCUGCUGCUGCAACCACAGCUAGAAACUAGCCAGCAGGCUAGCCAGGGCUGGAGUGGGGACGAAGGAAUACUGGACAAGAGAUUGGAAUCGCCUAGGAAAGGCUAUCAAGGCUGGGAGCUGCAGAAGGAAAAACAUCAGGUAAGGGACUGGGACUGGCUGAAAAACUAGGG